UACGGGGGGGGCAAGCGUUGUUCGGAAUUACUGGGCGUAAAGGGCGCGUAGGCGCCUUCUAAGUCAGACGUGAAAUCCCUCGGCUCAACCGAGGAACUGCGUCUGAUACUGGAAGGCUUGAAUCCGGGAGAGGGAUGUGGAAUUCCAGGUGUAGCGGUGAAAUGCGUAGAUAUCUGGAGGAACACCGGUGGCGAAGGCGGCAUCCUGGACCGGUAUUGACGCUGAGGCGCGAAAGCUAGGGGAGCAAACGGGG
rnacentral:rRNA from 1 species